UAGAGCAAGAGUCUGCCUCAAAAAAAAGAAAAAGAAAAAAAAUCUGGAGCUGGAACUACAUGCCAGAAAUUACAGAGAAGAUGAUAUUACAGGAUAUUUUCAUUUUUCAGGUCAGAAUAACUUUGAAUAUGUUUAAAAUUUGCAACAAGAAAGUGAUAUUUUCAUAAUCAAGAGAAACCAACAUAUUUUCCUUGAAUCAAAAUUCCAGAUAUAUUGGUUACCUAUUUCUGUGUAACAAAUUAUCUCCAAAUUUACCAGCUUAAAACAAUAAGUAUAUUCUGUUUUUCACAGUUUCUGUGGGUCAGGAACCAAGAGUGGCUUAGUGGCUUGCAGUGACUCAUGAACUUGAAAUCAAGUGGGUGGCUGGGGUUGUAGUCAUCUGAAGGUUUGACUGGGGCAGGAGAAUCCACUUCCAAGGUGGCUCACUCAAUGGCUGGCCAUUUAGUGCUGAUUGCUGGUUGGUGUCCUUAGUUCCUUGCCAAAUGGAUCUUUCCAUAGGGCUCCUUAAUUAAGUGUUCUCAUUAUGCAACAGCUAGCCUCUUAAAAGUAAGUGCUCCAAGAAGAGGCAAGGCAGAAAUUGUCACGUCUUUUAUGACCUGACCUCAGAAGUCACAUUUUGAUAUUUCUGAUAUUUUGAUAUUAGUUACACAGAUCAACCCUAUUUGAUAUGGAAGGGGCUACACUGGAAUGUGAACACCAGGAAGUGAGAAUCAUUGAGGGCUUUCUUGGAGCCUGGCUACCACACAGUUAAGUCAGAAAGAAAAGAACAGAAUAAUUAAUACAUUCUUCCUUUCCCCUUGGCCUUGAGAAACAAUAUGUUCCUUGAGAAAAGAAGAUAGAGAAGCCUUUUUCUAAACCAGUGAAAAGCAUAUAACUACAUUCUUGCACUCAGAAAAAGGUGUGAAAUUGUGUUUGGAGGCUUCUAUUAUGCUCCAAGAGAACAUGAGUGCAGUUCUUACAGACUCAGCAAAAAGUGAAAAUGGAAAUGUGUGACCACUCUGCUUCUUCAUAUGAUGGCAAAGAAUAUUUUCUCAUCUCUCCAUGGUAUACCAGUGUAGAAUGGGAGACCUGGGCUCAAUAUGUAUCCACUAUUUUUAUUUAUUUAUCAAUCUUUUAUCAAAUCAAUGUUUUUCCUUCCAGAAGCUAAGGUACUAAAUAUUGAACUAGAAACUAAUACUGAGUAGUUCCCAAACUAUAAACCACUCAGAAGCAAUAGCAAAUUGUUUGAGGUUUAUGCUCAUCUAAGUUGUGGAGAUUACUAAUUGAAAAACAAGUAAUAGGCCAAGCAGUACUGUAGAGUCAAAAUCCCUUCUCAGAAACCUUUUGGGUCAGAAGUGUUUGGACAGGUAAUAUGGUUUAUAUACCACAUAUUAUAUAAUAUCCUUUUUUGAAGUUUGGGAAAGAAAUAAAACAUAUUAAUAUCUCUGCAACAAUACAUGAAUAUUCACACUAAACAGGAUAAAUAAAGACUAUAAGCUUCAUGCUGAUUCAAAUCAGGUUUUGCCGUUAAAUAAGCUUGUGACAAACUGGAUUUUUUUUUUUUCCAGUUUUCAGAGCUCUUUAGGAUUUCAGACUAAGGGACUGUGGACCUAUACUACAAACUACAUUUGAAUCCAGCUGUGAGCAUACAACUUUACGAAGCAGCAGCAAUGAACAACAUUUCUGGAUUAUAUCCAGACAGUGUCACCAGGACUGGAAGGAUGAUCAGUUUGAUUCUGGCUCCCCUGAUUACACCUUGGCUCCAAGGACAUAAACAUCCAAGCCUGGUAAAGCCUAUGCAAGAGCGUCUGGGGCUGGAGAUAGCUUUCCUAGACCUGGACGUGGAAGAAAGUCUACAUCUCAUCCCUGGCAGCAGCCUGGAGCAGCUAAGAAAAUGGGUUUAGGAAGUCUCAGUCCAUUUUCAGAAGAAUAGAAACUAGUGCAAGCAUGUUCUGGGGUGGGAACUGAGGGACCUCCAAUAUAUAAAAUAGAAAAUCAGGCCUGAGGGUAAGGCAACAAGACCAGUAACUAAAGUUUGAUGACCUCUCUUUUUACUUGUGGAUGUACCAUACAAGGAGCCAACCUCCCAGUCUCCAGACCAGAAGUUUAGCUGGGAGGGGAGUCUUGGUUCCAUUUGUGUGCUGGAGCUAGCUCAGCCAAUGACCACAUGCCUACAGUGACCAAUCAUCUAGACUGCAGAGGUGGAUCUCAGCCUACACUUGUUGUCUCAGCAUAAUUAUUGAUAGUGCCCCAUGCUCUCAGAAGUAUCAAUUUAAAUAAUAAAGCACAUGGUUAUCCACAGGGUAGGGCAAUGAGGAGCCUCUUCCAAGUCAGAGGGCAGGAUACUUGUUCAGCACAGCCUGAAGAGUCAAUAUGGUGGGAGAAUCUGCAUCAAAGUCAGGGAUGAAAGUUGAAGUGGUGGCUGGAAAGAAAGCCAAGGUGGAAGCCCUAACCGUGACAUUAACAAUGACUGGCACGGGACAGGAGAGUCCAUCUGGUGCCACUCUCUGGCUUACAGCUCUAAACUAGAGAAGCUCCACUUCCAAAUCCUAUCCGAUCUUUCUCACAUUAUUUUUUGACAGUAAGUUCAGGUAACUGAAAA
rnacentral:lncRNA from 1 species